CCGCCAUCUUCAUUUAGCUGUGCUCUUCAGCACUCUAACCCUAACCAGGUUAAACCCUCGGGUUUUUGCCCAGUUUCUGGGUCUUUUGAUUAGUUCUUUCCUCGUUGCACUCUGUACUGUGUGUUUUUGGGGUUCCCUUUCGCGCUCUACAGGAGUAUAUGAACUUUACAAGGAGCCUUGGAAGUGGCGGCAAGCGAGCACCGCGGGUAACACUGCUAAACAUUACUCGUCGCUCGCCUUUGAUGCUAGAAAUGAUGCAAAAGUCUCGGGGAAUACAGCCGUGAGUAAAAUCACUCUCUGUAUUUAAGGGUUUGCCCUGCUUCCCAGCUUUUGCUCUUUCUAGUUGUAUGUGUGAAGGCUGGUGUAGUAUUGAGGAGCAGUGAAUAGCAACGAAAGGCGAUAUGUCGUGCAGCUCCUGUUUCCGGAUCGUUUCGCACGGUUCAAGUGUGGAAACAGUGAACAUGGCUUUUCGUACAUAU
rnacentral:telomerase_RNA from 1 species